CGAGUGGCGGACGGGUGAGUAAUGUCUGGGAAACUGCCUGAUGGAGGGGGAUAACUACUGGAAACGGUAGCUAAUACCGCAUAACGUCGCAAGACCAAAGAGGGGGACCUUCGGGCCUCUUGCCAUCAGAUGUGCCCAGAUGGGAUUAGCUAGUAGGUGGGGUAACGGCUCACCUAGGCGACGAUCCCUAGCUGGUCUGAGAGGAUGACCAGCCACACUGGAACUGAGACACGGUCCAGACUCCUACGGGAGGCAGCAGUGGGGAAUAUUGCACAAUGGGCGCAAGCCUGAUGCAGCCAUGCCGCGUGUAUGAAGAAGGCCUUCGGGUUGUAAAGUACUUUCAGCGGGGAGGAAGGUGUUGUGGUUAAUAACCGCAGCAAUUGACGUUACCCGCAGAAGAAGCACCGGCUAACUCCGUGCCAGCAGCCGCGGUAAUACGGAGGGUGCAAGCGUUAAUCGGAAUUACUGGGCGUAAAGCGCACGCAGGCGGUCUGUCAAGUCGGAUGUGAAAUCCCCGGGCUCAACCUGGGAACUGCAUUCGAAACUGGCAGGCUAGAGUCUUGUAGAGGGGGGUAGAAUUCCAGGUGUAGCGGUGAAAUGCGUAGAGAUCUGGAGGAAUACCGGUGGCGAAGGCGGCCCCCUGGACAAAGACUGACGCUCAGGUGCGAAAGCGUGGGGAGCAAACAGGAUUAGAUACCUGGUAGUCCACGCCGUAAACGAUGUCGACUUGGAGGUUGUGCCCUUGAGGCGUGCUUCCGGAGCUAACGCGUUAAGUCGACCGCCUGGGGAGUACGGCCGCAAGGUUAAAACUCAAAUGAAUUGACGGGGGCCCGCACAAGCGGUGGAGCAUGUGGUUUAAUUCGAUGCAACGCGAAGAACCUUUACCUACUCUUGACAUCCAGAGAACUUUCCAGAGAUGGAUUGGUGCCUUCGGGAACUCUGAGACAGGUGGCUGCAUGGCUGUCGUCAGCUCGUGUUGUGAAAUGUUGGGUUAAGUCCCGCAACGAGCGCAACCCUUAUCCUUUGUUGCCAGCGGUUAGGCCGGGAACUCAAAGGAGACUGCCAGUGAUAAACUGGAGGAAGGUGGGGAUGACGUCAAGUCAUCAUGGCCCUUACGAGUAGGGCUACACACGUGCUACAAUGGCGCAUACAAAGAGAAGCGACCUCGCGAGAGCAAGCGGACCUCAUAAAGUGCGUCGUAGUCCGGAUUGGAGUCUGCAACUCGACUCCAUGA
rnacentral:rRNA from 1 species